GACGAACGCUGGCGGCGUGCUUAACACAUGCAAGUCGAACGGAAAGGCCCUGCUUUUGUGGGGUGCUCGAGUGGCGAACGGGUGAGUAACACGUGAGUAACCUGCCCUUGACUUUGGGAUAACUUCAGGAAACUGGGGCUAAUACCGGAUAGGAGCUCCUGCUGCAUGGUGGGGGUUGGAAAGUUUCGGCGGUUGGGGAUGGACUCGCGGCUUAUCAGCUUGUUGGUGGGGUAGUGGCUUACCAAGGCUUUGACGGGUAGCCGGCCUGAGAGGGUGACCGGCCACAUGGGGACUGAGAUAGGGCCCAGACUCCUACGGGAGGCAGCAGUGGGGAAUAUUGCACAAUGGGAGGAAGCCUGAUGCAGAAACGCCGCGUGCGGGAUGACGGCCUUCGGGGUGUAAACCGCUUUCGCCUGUGACGAAGCGUGAGUGACGGUAAUGGGUAAAGAAGCACCGGCUAACUACGUG
rnacentral:rRNA from 1 species